AUGCUCUUAUCUGAGUGUGACUGCUUUCAAAUAAGGCACUGUGUAUUCCUGUUUGCCUCGUGUAUUCCUGUUUGCCUCGUGUAUUCCUGUUUGCCUCGUGUAUUCCUGUUUGCCUCGUGUAUUCCUGUUUGCCUCAUGUGUAUAUGUGUGUGUAUCCAGUAUGUGAAUAUAUAUGCAGUGUCUGUUUUUUUAUCCUUAAUAUAAGUAGGCAAGUCAGUUAAGAACAAAUUCUUAUUUACAAUGACGGCCUACCGGGGAACAGUGGGUUAACUGCCUUGUUCAGGGGGCAGAACGACAGAUUUUUACCUUGUCAGCUCGGGGAUUCGAUCUUGUAACCUUUCGGUUACUAGUCCAACGCUCUAACCAGUAAGGUACCUGCCGCCACAGGUGUAUGUAGUGUCUGUAUGCAGUGUGUGUAUGCAGUGUGUGUAUGUAGUGUCUGUAUGCAG
ensembl:lncRNA